UUGGUUUACGUGUCAAUAGAAGCCAAUUUAUGUAAUUUACGCUACUGAUGCUCGAAAGAAAUAUACAUAAACGUUCCUUCACUCCGCUGUUCAUCUAUAAAUACUUCAAUUCUCAAUAGCAACAAGGUUACAUCAUACACUUUUCCUCUUUUGAGUUCAGACAAAAUAAAUCAGUCAGCAUGUGCACAUUAUUUAUUUAUUUACCAGUGUCAUCAGUUUAUGACUGAAUUUAUUCCACUUACGCACUGUUUAUACGAGAGCAAUGGACAUGUAAAGCCAAAUACUAUGAAGUGGUUUAAACUUGUUCUUAGGAGUAUAGUAUACAGAAAAUCGUGUACUAUUCACAACCCAACAUCUCUCCCAACGUACUGUCCACGAAAUACUUUUAACCUUAUAAGCUCCGCCUUCCUCAAAUUUUUCAGGCCUUGCUUCAAGGGGAAAAAACCCCCACUAGAUGGUCUCCAGUGCUAUGAAUAGUAUUAUGUUAAAAAGAAUCUACCGAGAAAAUUAACUACAUCAGUCGUAAGCUAAGAAGAGUAUAGAGAGUUGUAAAAACAAACACAGCAGUAGCAGUCAAAUGAUUUUAUAGUUGCGUCAGUGUGUGUUACUGAAAAGCAGCAUUCCAGCCGUAACAAUCUCGUGCUUUUUCCAGGCAUAGUGGUGGCGAUUCGGCCAGCCAACCAAAUACCGACAUGUAACGAUAAAUUGAAGAACUUGAACAUGCUCGGCCAGUACUUUAUAUCUUAUCAGUUCUGCAUUAUAUCAAUAACUCACUGCACUACAUGCAUAUAGUUACAUAUUGUCCUUGGCUAGGGUUGCCAGAUUAGAAAAUUAGAUAUACGGAAAAAAUUUCGCGUACGGGACACUCUAAAGUAUCUGUACAUAUAUAUAAAUGUAUGCAUGCCUACACACCUAGAACAAUAUAUUAUAUAAGAGACCUAAGUUAAAAACAUAAAGCACUUAUCUUAAUGGGUUAUGAGAAAAACGAAAGUAAAAUCAUUUCAAAAUUAUUGAAUACAAGCUAAAAAAAAAAAAUCAUUAACCAAAUUCUGUUCAAGUGAAAUAAUUUGAAAAAAAUUCUUUAAUACAGACAGCAGCAAAAUAAGCAAAAAAAUCCGUUAGAUCAAAAUCAUUGUAAAUUUUUUUAUUUAAUGACAAAUAGAGACAAUAUAGAAAAAAUAUUUUAGUCUGAAAGCAUUUGAAUAUCAUUAUUUAAUACAGGCACUAUAGAUAACUAAAAGAAAUACUGAGAAAGUGAAAUCAUUGCAAAAUUCUUAUACAAUAGAGACUGUAGUGGCUUCAUGCAGGCAUGGCGUGGAUUCGAUGCUCGAUUGCCAAAUUUCACUUUUCAACAGCACUUUUCUCAUGGCAGCAGUUACAUUUACCAGAUGUCUUCGCUAAGCAGAAUUAUGUCUUUGCCACUGACCCUUCUAAUCUCUUCUAUUUCACCAAAAGCUAAAAUAGACAUAACAGACCCCCAACGAAAUAUAUUGUUUUCAACAAUAUGUCUAUCCUUCUAGCUGGUUUUGGAUAGUCCCUGUCCGGAAAAAUAUAUUAUUUAAUUUUUAAUUGAUUUUGAUUUCAUUGUACUGUGUAAAUUCAUUCGAUUUCAUUAUAUUUGAUUUUUAUGCGAAUUAACUAAUGUAUAACCCCACUCCCUAAAUGUUUUUGUUUUGUCCUUGUGCUGUCCCCUCUUAUGUGAGCCACGUAUUGGCAAUAAAGAAAUUAGUUAUUGAGAGCAACAGUUAGUGAAAUAGUCAUGGCCACAAGCAGGCAGCCACUAAAAACAAACGGCCAGAAGGAAAAAGGUUACAAUCAGUCAACUACGAGACACAACGCCCGUCGACUCUAUAACUUUCACUAGCUCAAUUUCUUUUCUCUUACAUCAUUCUAUCACUAUCUAUGGUUUACUACUAUGAGAACUACUAUCGGCCGAAAUUAACUCAAUACCUCGCAUGCUUUUCCAUUUACUAAUACGUACCAACCCGUUGUGGUUUUGGAUAUAUACAAAGUAACGCUAGUUUCUCAAAAUGGUAAUGCACAAAAUGAGAAUGAAGAAGAAAAUCAGAAACAUGAACAGCAAGAAGCUUUGAGAAAAUGGAAGAAAGUAAUGAAAUGAUUUGGCUGUAAAAUGAUAUAAAUUUGUUUUAAAAACUUUA